AUGUUUUCCUGGGCUUUUAAAAUGCGAUCUUGUGUAAUGUACUAUGACCAAGCACUGGAGCGUGGAAGCUGUGAACCUCCUAACCUACUCUCUACCUGCCGAACAGAAUCACCAAAAGGGGGUGACAUACCACUUCAGAGAAUGGCGAAUACUUCCAAGGGCAAGGUGUGUGUCACUGGAGCCUCUGGCUUUGUUGCCUCUUGGCUUGUCAAGCGACUUCUCGAGUCAGGUUAUCAUGUUCUAGGGACAGUCAGAGACCCAGGCAAUCAGAAGAAGGUAGCACACCUCUGGAACUUAGCAGGUGCUAAGGAGGGGCUGGAGCUUGUCAGGGCUGACCUCUUGGAAGAAGGGAGCUUCGACGAUGCCGUGAUGGCCUGUGAGGGCGUCUUCCACACCGCAUCGCCUAUCAUCACUAACGCUGAUUCCAAGGAAGAAAUGCUUGAUUCGGCGAUAAACGGCACUCUAAACGUGCUGAGAUCCUGCAAGAAGAAUCCAUUCCUCAAAAGGGUUGUCCUCACGUCUUCGUCGUCGACCGUGAGGCUGAGAGAUGAAGCUGAAUUCCCUCCCAACGUGCUGCUGGAUGAAACAUCAUGGAGCUCCGUGGAGUUCUGCGAAAGCAUCCAGAUAUGGUACGCUGUUGCGAAGAUCCUCGCUGAGAAAUCAGCCUGGGAGUUCGCCAAGGAGAACAACAUCGACCUCGUGGCCGUUCUUCCGACGUUCGUCAUCGGCCCUAACCUCUCCCCUGUGUUAGGCCCCACCGCCUCAGAUGUCCUUGGCUUGUUUAAAGGGGAGACGGAGAAGUUCACCAUCUUCGGGAGGAUGGGGUACGUCCACAUCGACGACGUCGCGAGCUGCCACAUCCUGGUCUACGAAACCGCCGACGCCAAGGGGAGGUACAUCUGCAACUCGGCGGUUCUGGAUAGCAACGAGCUGGUCGCCUUGCUCGCGAAACGGUUCCCGUCGUUCCCCAUCCCGAAGAGUUUACCGAACAUUUACGGGGAGCAGACGUACGGCUACAACACGUCAAAGAUCCGGAAGCUGGGGCUUGAGUUCAGAGGCGUGGAGGAGAUGUUCGACGACUCGGUGGAGUCGCUCAAGGCGCAUGGCUAUCUGCGCGAGGGCGCCGCGUGA
rnacentral:rRNA from 1 species